GGGUCUAUAGCUCAAUUGGUAGAGCAGCGGACUCUUAAUCCGUUGGCUGCUGGUUCGAGUCCAGCUAGACCCACUA
rnacentral:tRNA from 1 species